UACAGAGGUCUCAAGCGUUGUUCGGAUUCAUUGGGCGUAAAGGGUGCGUAGGCGGCGCGGUAAGUCGGGUGUGAAAUCUCGGAGCUUAACUCCGAAACUGCAUUCGAUACUGCCGUGCUUGAGGACUGGAGAGGAGACUGGAAUUUACGGUGUAGCGGUGAAAUGCGUAGAUAUUCGGAGGAACACCAGUGGCGAAGGCGGCUCACUGGUCCAUUACUGACGCUGAGGUGCGAAAGCGUGGGGAGCAAACAGG
rnacentral:rRNA from 1 species